AGGUUUGCGCAGUGGCAGUAUCGUGCCAAUGAGGUUUAGCCCAGGCACGAUUAUUGCUAAUUGAAAACUUUUCCCAAUACCCCUCCAUGACGACUUGAAAAAACAACAACAACAACAAAAAAAAAAACCACAACACACUCAUAAAAUAUCUGUACCAAUUGUUAUU
ensembl:snRNA U4 U4 spliceosomal RNA